rnacentral:rRNA from 1 species
AUUGAACGCUGGCGGCAGGCCUAACACAUGCAAGUCGAGCGGUAACAGAAAGUAGCUUGCUACUUUGCUGACGAGCGGCGGACGGGUGAGUAAUGCUUGGGAACAUGCCUUGAGGUGGGGGACAACAGUUGGAAACGACUGCUAAUACCGCAUAAUGUCUACGGACCAAAGGGGGCUUCGGCUCUCGCCUUUAGAUUGGCCCAAGUGGGAUUAGCUAGUUGGUGAGGUAAUGGCUCACCAAGGCAACGAUCCCUAGCUGGUUUGAGAGGAUGAUCAGCCACACUGGAACUGAGACACGGUCCAGACUCCUACGGGAGGCAGCAGUGGGGAAUAUUGCACAAUGGGCGAAAGCCUGAUGCAGCCAUGCCGCGUGUGUGAAGAAGGCCUUCGGGUUGUAAAGCACUUUCAGUCAGGAGGAAAGGGUGUGAGUUAAUACCUCAUAUCUGUGACGUUACUGACAGAAGAAGCACCGGCUAACUCCGUGCCAGCAGCCGCGGUAAUACGGAGGGUGCGAGCGUUAAUCGGAAUUACUGGGCGUAAAGCGUACGCAGGCGGUUUGUUAAGCGAGAUGUGAAAGCCCCGGGCUCAACCUGGGAACUGCAUUUCGAACUGGCAAACUAGAGUGUGAUAGAGGGUGGUAGAAUUUCAGGUGUAGCGGUGAAAUGCGUAGAGAUCUGAAGGAAUACCGAUGGCGAAGGCAGCCACCUG